rnacentral:lncRNA from 1 species
GCUCCAUGGUGAUGGCCACCCCGACGCCGCUGCGCCCCGACGUCAUGCGGGUCACCUCCGUCCACGCGUCCUCCGCCGGGUCGUAACACUCCACCGAGUCCAGGAACGUGUGGCCGUCGUAGCCCCCCAGCACGUAGAUCUUGCCCUGGUACACGGUGACGCCGAGGGCGCUGCGGCGGUAUCGCAUGGGGGCCACGAAGGUCCACGUGUCGCUCUCCACGUCGUAGCGCUCGGUGCUGUUGAGCUGAUCCGUCCCAUCGUAACCCCCCAUGGCGUAGAUGCAGUUGUUGAGGGCGCAGACCCCGGCGCCGCUGCGGAUGCUGGCCAUGGGCGCGAUGGGCCUCCAUGCGUCGCGCUCGGGGUGGUAGCACUCAGCCGAGCGCAGCCGCGCGGUGCCGUCGAACCCCCCCACGGCGUACAGCAGUCGGUUCA